UACGGAGGGUGCGAGCGUUGUCCGGAUUUAUUGGGUUUAAAGGGUGCGUAGGCGGCGCAGUAAGUUGGGUGUGAAAUCCCUCGGCUUAACCGAGGAAUUGCGCCCAAAACUACUGUGCUCGAGGGAGAUAGAGGUGAGCGGAACUUAGGGUGGAGCGGUGAAAUGCGUUGAUAUCCUAAGGAACACCGGUGGCGAAAGCGGCUCACUGGAUCUCUUCUGACGCUGAGGCACGAAAGCUAGGGUAGCAAACGGG
rnacentral:rRNA from 1 species